rnacentral:rRNA from 1 species
UGCAAGUCGAACGGUGAAGCAGGAGCUUGCUCCUGCGGAUCAGUGGCGAACGGGUGAGUAACACGUGAGCAAUCUGCCCUGGACUCUGGGAUAAGCGUUGGAAACGACGUCUAAUACCGGAUACGAGACGCGAAGGCAUCUUCAGCGUCUGGAAAGAACUUCGGUCCAGGAUGAGCUCGCGGCCUAUCAGGUAGUUGGUGAGGUAAUGGCUCACCAAGCCUACGACGGGUAGCCGGCCUGAGAGGGUGACCGGCCACACUGGGACUGAGACACGGCCCAGACUCCUACGGGAGGCAGCAGUGGGGAAUAUUGCACAAUGGGCGCAAGCCUGAUGCAGCAACGCCGCGUGAGGGACGACGGCCUUCGGGUUGUAAACCUCUUUUAGCAGGGAAGAAGCGAAAGUGACGGUACCUGCAGAAAAAGCACCGGCUAACUACGUGCCAGCAGCCGCGGUAAUACGUAGGGUGCAAGCGUUAUCCGGAAUUAUUGGGCGCAAAGAGCUCGUAGGCGGUUUGUCGCGUCUGCUGUGAAAACCCGAGGCUCAACCUCGGGCCUGCAGUGGGUACGGGCAGACUAGAGUGCGGUAGGGGAGAUUGGAAUUCCUGGCGUAGCGGUGGAAUGCGCAGAUAUCAGGAGGAACACCGAUGGCGAAGGCAGAUCUCUGGGCCGUAACUGACGCUGAGGAGCGAAAGCAUGGGGAGCGAACAGGAUUAGAUACCCUGGUAGUCCAUGCCGUAAACGUUGGGAACUAGAUGUGGG